CUUGAUCCAGAUGACCAUACAUGUUGCUAUCUUGAUCCACUUAGAAAAUCUCCUCCAAAUGAUUUGAAGAACCUUAUGAACAGUCUCUUCACACAUUAAGCGAAAGACAGGAAGGAAUGAAAAAAAUUUCAAGUGGAAAAUAGUCAAUUGCCCUCGUCAAACAUCGUCAGUAGAGUGCGGCUUUUAUAUCAUAAGGAUGAUGAAGGACUAUUGCUUGAAUGAGACACUCAUGCGAUGGCUAACUAGUAAUUGUGGUGGGAAGAAUACAUAUACACUUGGCGAAAUUAAUGAAACUCGAAAUGAAUGGGCAGCCAAGCUUCUUGAGUGGAUGCGUCAUAACAAGAGUAACUUUUGAAAUCAGAAUUAAAAAAUAUACUAAUUGUAGUUUUUAGUUAGCACUUACAUAGUUAUUGCAAGUGUAUAUUUUGAUCUUAUAAUUUUUAGAUUUGGAACAUACUGAGUUCUAUUGAUUUUGUUUGCCUGCUGAUUCUGUCUGAACUAUGUUGUAAUUACACAGAAAAUUAUGAAUGAAUAUAGUGGUUGAAAAUAGAGAAAUGAAAAAAUUCUCAUAUUCUACAUGGGA